rnacentral:rRNA from 1 species
UGGGGAAUCUUGGACAAUGGGGGCAACCCUGAUCCAGCAACGCCGCGUGGAGGACGAAGGCCUUCGGGUCGUAAACUCCUGUCAGUAGGGACGAAAAAAGCAGGGUCGAACAGGCCCUUGCCAUUGACGGUACCUGCAGAGGAAGCCCCGGCUAACUCCGUGCCAGCAGCCGCGGUAAUACGGAGGGGGCUAGCGUUAUUCGGAAUUACGUGGGCGUAAAGGGCGUGUAGGCGGCUUGAUAGGUCAAAAGGUGAAAUCCCUCGGCUCAACCGAGGAACUGCCUUUGAAACCAUCUGGCUCGAGGCUGGGAGGGGGUAGCGGAAUUCCUGGGUGUAGCGGUGAAAUGCGUAGAUAUCAGGAGGAACACCAGUGGCGAAGGCGGCUACCUGGACCAGUUCUGACGCUGAGGCGCGAAAGCGUGGGGAGCAAACAGGAUUAGAUACCCUGGUAGU